rnacentral:rRNA from 1 species
GACGAACGCUGGCGGCGUGCCUAAUACAUGCAAGUAGAACGCAGUUUCGCACGGGUGAGUAACGCGUAGGUAACUGCCUCAUAGCGGGGGAUAACUAUUGGAAACGAUAACUAAUACCGCAUACUUUUAGCUGGACCUGCUUUGUAUUAGCUAGUUGGUGCGGUAAAGGCUCACCAAGGCGACGAUACAUACUCGACCUUAGAGGGUGAGCGGCCACACCGGGACUGGGACACGGCCCAGACUCCUACGGGAGGCAGCAGUAGGGAAUCUUCGGACAAGGACGGAAGUCUGAACGAGCAAAGCCGCGGGAGUGGAGAAGGUUUUCGGAUCGUAAAGCUCUGUUGUUAGAGAAGCGGGAACUAACCAGAAAGGGACGGCUAACUACGUGCCAGCAGCCGCGGUAAUUC